rnacentral:rRNA from 1 species
AACGAACGCUGGCGGCAUGCCUUACACAUGCAAGUCGAACGGCAGCACGGGAGCAAUCCUGGUGGCGAGUGGCGAACGGGUGAGUAAAGUAUCGGAACGUGCCCAGUCGUGGGGGAUAACGUAGCGAAAGUUACGCUAAUACCGCAUACGAUCUAUGGAUGAAAGCGGGGGAUCGCAGGACCUCGCGCGAUUGGAGCGGCCGAUAUCAGAUUAGGUAGUUGGUGGGGUAAAGGCUCACCAAGCCGACGAUCUGUAGCUGGUCUGAGAGGACGACCAGCCACACUGGGACUGAGACACGGCCCAGACUCCUACGGGAGGCAGCAGUGGGGAAUUUUGGACAAUGGGCGAAAGCCUGAUCCAGCCAUGCCGCGUGCAGGAUGGAGGCCUUCGGGUUGUAAACUGCUUUUGUACGGAACGAAAAGGUUUGGCCUAAUAAGCUGAGCUCAUGACGGUACCGUAAGAAUAAGCACCGGCUAACUACGUGCCAGCCGCCGCCGUAA